rnacentral:rRNA from 1 species
GAUGAACGCUGGCGGCGUGCCUAAUACAUGCAAGUCGAGCGAACGGACGAGAAGCUUGCUUCUCUGAUGUUAGCGGCGGACGGGUGAGUAACACGUGGAUAACCUACCUAUAAGACUGGGAUAACUUCGGGAAACCGGAGCUAAUACCGGAUAAUAUUUUGAACCGCAUGGUUCAAAAGUAAAAGACGGUCUUGCUGUCACUUAUAGAUGGAUCCGCGCUGCAUUAGCUAGUUGGUAAGGUAACGGCUUACCAAGGCAACGAUGCAUAGCCGACCUGAGAGGGUGAUCGGCCACACUGGAACUGAGACACGGUCCAGACUCCUACGGGAGGCAGCAGUAGGGAAUCGUCCGCAAUGGGCGAAAGCCUGACGGAGCAACGCCGCGUGAGUGAUGAAGGUCUUCGGAUCGUAAAACUCUGUUAUUAGGGAAGAACAUAUGUGUAAGUAACUGUGCACAUCUUGACGGUACCUAAUCAGAAAGCCACGGCUAACUACGUG